AAAGGAGCAAAUUUUUCAAUUUUUGUAAUGCCUAUGGUUACUGUGGAAGAGAGAGAAAACAGGAAACAGAGGCAGAAUGCUCGCCUUAACCAUUAAUUACUUUGAUUAAUACAGCUUAAUCUUCUUCUAUAAUUGGGUUUACAAACCAAACCCUUGCGGCGAGGUCACUCAGUAACGGAAAGGAACUGAUUCCCCCACCGCAACUCACCCACCCUUUUGCUUCUCCUGAUCAUUUUUUUUUUAUUUUUUAGAAUUUGAUGAAUUAUUUUCACAUAUUCUCGAUUCCCA
rnacentral:misc_RNA from 1 species